rnacentral:tRNA from 1 species
GGGUUGUGGCUCAGUGGUAGAGUACUGGUCUCACACGUGGGAGACCCUGGGUUCCAUCCUCAGCCUCA